GGCUCGUUGGUCUAGCUGUAUGAUUUGUACUUAGGGUGUGUGAGGUUCCAGGUUCAAAACCCGGAUGAGCCC